rnacentral:rRNA from 1 species
UGAGACACGGUCCAAACUCCUACGGGAGGCAGCAGUGGGGAAUAUUGCACAAUGGGCGAAAGCCUGAUGCAGCAACGCCGCGUGAGUGAUGAAGGCCUUCGGGUCGUAAAACUCUGUCCUCAAGGAAGAUAAUGACGGUACUUGAGGAGGAAGCCCCGGCUAACUACGUGCCAGCAGCCGCGGUAAUACGUAGGGGGCUAGCGUUAUCCGGAUUUACUGGGCGUAAAGGGUGCGUAGGCGGUCUUUCAAGUCAGGAGUGAAAGGCUACGGCUCAACCGUAGUAAGCUCUUGAAACUGGGAGACUUGAGUGCAGGAGAGGAGAGUGGAAUUCCUAGUGUAGCGGUGAAAUGCGUAGAUAUUAGGAGGAACACCAGUUGCGAAGGCGGCUCUCUGGACUGUAACUGACGCUGAGGCACGAAAGCGUGGGGAGCAAACAGGAUUAGAUACCCUGGUAGUCCACGCUGUAAACGAUGAGUACUAGGUGUCGGGGGUUACCCCCUUCG